rnacentral:rRNA from 1 species
UACGAAGGGGGCUAGCGUUGCUCGGAAUCACUGGGCGUAAAGCGCACGUAGGCGGCUUUCUAAGUCAGGGGUGAAAUCCUGGAGCUCAACUCCAGAACUGCCUUUGAUACUGGGUAUCUAGAGUCCGGAAGAGGUGAGUGGAAUUCCGAGUGUAGAGGUGAAAUUCGUAGAUAUUCGGAGGAACACCAGUGGCGAAGGCGGCUCACUGGUCCGGUACUGACGCUGAGGUGCGAAAGCGUGGGGAGCAAACAGG